rnacentral:rRNA from 1 species
GUGAGCAAACAGGAUUAGAUACCCUGGUAGUCCACGCCGUAAACGAUGUCGACUUGGAGGUUGUGCCCUUGAGGCGUGGCUUCCGGAGCUAACGCGUUAAGUCGACCGCCUGGGGAGUACGGCCGCAAGGUUAAAACUCAAAUGAAUUGACGGGGGCCCGCACAAGCGGUGGAGCAUGUGGUUUAAUUCGAUGCAACGCGAAGAACCUUACCUGGUCUUGACAUCCACAGAACUUUCCAGAGAUGGAUUGGUGCCUUCGGGAACUGUGAGACAGGUGCUGCAUGGCUGUCGUCAGCUCGUGUUGUGAAAUGUUGGGUUAAGUCCCGCAACGAGCGCAACCCUUAUCCUUUGUUGCCAGCGGUCCGGCCGGGAACUCAAAGGAGACUGCCAGUGAUAAACUGGAGGAAGGUGGGGAUGACGUCAAGUCAUCAUGGCCCUUACGACCAGGGCUACACACGUGCUACAAUGGCGCAUACAAAGAGAAGCGACCUCGCGAGAGCAAGCGGACCUCAUAAAGUGCGUCGUAGUCCGGAUUGGAGUCUGCAACUCGACUCCAUGAAGUCGGAAUCGCUAGUAAUCGUGGAUCAGAAUGCCACGGUGAAUACGUUCCCGGGCCUUGUACACACCGCCCGUCACACCAUGGGAGUGGGUUGCAAAAGAAGUAGGUAGCUUAACCUUCGGGAGGGCGCUUACCACUUUGUGA